rnacentral:rRNA from 1 species
UUCUGCGAGUAACGUCCACUAUCUGAAGGUAUUAACUUCAGUAGCCUCCUCCUCGCUUAAAGUGCUUUACAACCAUAAGGCCUUCUUCACACACGCGGCAUGGCUGGAUCAGGCUUGCGCCCAUUGUCCAAUAUUCCCCACUGCUGCCUCCCGUAG